UGUGUGUGUCUGUGUGUGUGAACUCAUCCCUUACAUAUCUGCUCUUUCCCUCUUCCUCUGGAUAUAUAUACAUAUAUGCCUCUGUGUUUAUAUAUGUAUAUUUGCAUUUCCAGCAUUUCUUUUUUCAAUUCUAUAUUUUUAAAGGGGCGUGCACUGUCUGGUGGAUUUUUGCAGGCUGAUAUAGCUUAUGCCCCCUCUACCCCACCCCCAGAACAUCACUCUGCAACCCUGCUCUCCAGCCCCAGGAAAGGAGCUUCAUCUUGGGUUGAAAGCUUUGGCGAGACCCCUGUUCAUCCUCGGAUGGAGAAUACCAAGAACUGAUGGAACCUUAACCGGAUAUAUGCUUGUCUACGGGAGUGUUUUCUCCAGUAGAGCGAGAAUGCAAGAAAAAGCCAGAAUUUUGAGCUCAUUAGUUUUGAAGAAAUAGAUGGUGCUUUGGGUAAUUUUUGUGGCUUGUAACAAAUGUGUUGGAAUGUAAUGACAUUUUUAUUUGUUUACAUGUACGUUUUUAGUUAUCUGUAAUGUAUGCAUUUAUUUUGAAUGUCAUCGUUGGCUUCAUCUCUUGUGAUGUGAUUUUUACCCAUACUUGUUUUUACUUGCGGUAUAGGUGCAUGUAUGCUGUGAGAGAGGAUGAGAAAUAAAAAAUAUAAACAGAGAGAGAAAGAGGUGGGGGACAAGAAAAUAAGGAGAGAGGGAGAGAGAGAGAGAGAGAGAGAGAGAGCGAGAGAGAGAGAGAGAGAGAGAGAGAACAGACUGUCAUAGGGAAGUACUAGCUUUACAUUGCGAUGCUGGCAGGCAUCUCAUAAUGGCGGUGGAUGUGCUGCUGAAUGUGCGAGAAGGGAGAGCAGUGCAUAGCUUUGCAUCUUCACACAUCUCCCACAAACAGCAUUGCUGGUCGUCUUUGUUUGGCCGAGAGGCAAGGUCUACUGGAAAGAAACACAAGGCAGGUGCCAGGGCUUCUUGCAGAAUGAUACAACAAAAGGUAGAUCCUCUUUAUCUCUCUCUCUUUCUCUGUCCCUCAUGUAACGUCUCAGGUCAUGUAUUCGCUACAGAGUGUAGUCAGCAUUGUUGAUUUCACCGGCGAAGGCUGUAAAUGUAUUUCAGUGGGACGAGAUGAAAUGCUAUUUUGUAUGUGUAAGUGUUAAAUAUGAGCACUGAAGAAAAACACUGGUCUGGUC